rnacentral:rRNA from 1 species
AUUGAACGCUGGCGGCAUGCCUUACACAUGCAAGUCGAACGGUAACAGGUCUUCGGAUGCUGACGAGUGGCGAACGGGUGAGUAAUACAUCGGAACGUGCCCGAUCGUGGGGGAUAACGGAGCGAAAGCUUUGCUAAUACCGCAUACGAUCUACGGAUGAAAGCCGGGGACCGCAAGGCCUUGCGCGGACGGAGCGGCCGAUGGCAGAUUAGGUAGUUGGUGGGAUAAAAGCUUACCAAGCCGACGAUCUGUAGCUGGUCUGAGAGGACGACCAGCCACACUGGGACUGAGACACGGCCCAGACUCCUACGGGAGGCAGCAGUGGGGAAUUUUGGACAAUGGGCGAAAGCCUGAUCCAGCCAUGCCGCGUGAAGGAUGAAGGCCUUCGGGUUGUAAACUGCUUUUGUACGGAACGACAAGAAUCUUUCUAAUAAAGAGGGUCCAUGACGGUACCGUAAGAAUAAGCACCGGCUAACUACGUG